GUUUGAUCCUGGCUCAGAUUGAACGCUGGCGGCAUGCCUUACACAUGCAAGUCGAACGGUAACGCGGGGCAACCUGGCGACGAGUGGCGAACGGGUGAGUAAUAUAUCGGAACGUGCCCAGUAGUGGGGGAUAGCCCGGCGAAAGCCGGAUUAAUACCGCAUACGACCUACGGGUGAAAGCGGGGAUCGCAAGACCUCGCGCUAUUGGAGCGGCCGAUAUCAGAUUAGGUAGUUGGUGGGGUAAAAGCCUACCAAGCCAACGAUCUGUAGCUGGUCUGAGAGGACGACCAGCCACACUGGGACUGAGACACGGCCCAGACUCCUACGGGAGGCAGCAGUGGGGAAUUUUGGACAAUGGGCGCAAGCCUGAUCCAGCCAUGCCGCGUGCGGGAAGAAGGCCU
rnacentral:rRNA from 1 species